AGGGCACCACCAGGAGUGGAGCCUGCGGCUUAAUUUGACUCAACACGGGAAAUCUCACCAGGCCCGGACACCGGAAGGAUUGACAGAUUGAGAGCUCUUUCUUGAUUCGGUGGGUGGUGGUGCAUGGCCGUUCUUAGUUGGUGGAGCGAUUUGUCUGGUUAAUUCCGAUAACGAACGAGACUCUGGCCUACUAAAUAGACGUUAGAUCCCUUUGUGGGUCUAUCGCAGCUUCUUAGAGGGACGGGCGGCGUUCAGCCGCACGAGAUUGAGCAAUAACAGGUCUGUGAUGCCCUUAGAUGUUCUGGGCUGCACGCGCGCUACACUGAAGGAAUCAGCGUGUGUUCCCUGCCCGAAAGGACUGGGAAACCCGUUGAACCUCCUUCGUGAUGGGGAUUGGGGAUUGCAAUUAUUCCCCAUGAACGAGGAAUUCCCAGUAGGCGCGAGUCAUAAGCUUGCGUCGAUUACGUCCCUGCCCUUUGCACACACCGCCCGUCGCUACUACCGAUCGAGUGAUUUAGU
rnacentral:rRNA from 1 species